rnacentral:rRNA from 1 species
ACGCGAGCUGGGUUCAGAACGUCGUGAGACAGUUCGGUCCCUAUCCGUCGCAGGCGUAGGAAAUUUGAGAAGACCUGUCCUUAGUACGAGAGGACCGGGAUGGACGUACCUCUGGUGUACCAGUUGUUCUGCCAAGGGCAUGGCUGGGUAGCUGUGUACGGAAUGGAUAAGCGCUGAAAGCAUCUAAGCGCGAAGCCAACUUCAAGAUAAGAUUUCCCACCGCAAGGGUAAGACCCCAGAAAGACUAACUGGUUGAUAGGUCGAAGGUGUAAGUGCAGCAAUGUAUUUAGCUUAUCGAUACUAAUAGGUCGAGGACUUGACCAAU